AAUGUAUAAACAAAAAACAAUUCACUUUAUAUUGCAAUUGUUUACUAAUUUUGUGCUCUUUAUUAUUUGCUUCACCAAUUAACUCAAUCUUCAGAUGAUUGGACAAUCUAUCGAUGUUAUUAGACGGUUAUUAUAACUUUAAGAUCCAUUUUAGGUAACGUAACAGAGACGUUAACCGUUUGUGUUAUGAAAGAAAUGAAAUUUCUAACCAGAAUUGUAACCAGGUAAUGAAGUUUCCAAAGAUGAAUUUGAAUUUAGAAAUGGAUUUGAUGGAUGUUGAUCCAUGGUUUUCUCCUUGAUUUGGCGUUGCCAGAUUCAUGAAAAGUUCACCUCAAGCAACUUGACUUGUUAAAACAAUCGUACGAUUAUUUUUGGUGGUAAUUGUGAGGACAAGUGUAUGAUGAGCCUUCAAUAAUGAUGAGCAAAAUUACCAAACCAAAUCCAAUCAACAAUUAUCUCAAUAUGGUUGGUUCUCCAAUAGAACAAUCAAGUUUACAAAAGUAAACUCAUGCCAUACUGUGAAUGUUUAAGUCUCAACCAAAUUGUGCCAUUGGUAAUCAAUUAAAAAGCGAUGACUAAAUCUUCCCAUCAAUAUCUUUAAAGCUGCAAAUGAGAGUAAAAUGUAAUCUGUUCUCGAUUCUAUCGAUCAAGAUGAGUCAAUUGUGUUAAGGACCAAAUUGUGCUCAUCGAUAUGCAUGAGUUGGAAAUUUAAAACAAUUUAAUCUAAUCAAGAAUCAUUGGUGAAAUAAUUACGAGUCGAAAGUGAUGUUAUAUUGUCAAAAAAAUGGUUUUAUCCCUUUAUUGUUGUAUUGAUGGUGGAGGAGGAAGAAACAAAAGAGAAGGUGUUUGAAACCGUGAAAAGUUGAACAUCAGUUUACUUGGUUAUCAAUUUAAGUUAACUUUGACCCAGUUGGUGGUAAUUAAGGAUUGAUUUGCAAUCCGCAAUCAAACAAAGGCGAUAAUCAUAAUUGAGAUUGAGCAACAUAAACUGUUCCAUGUUCAGAUUCAAGUUUCAUCCCGUUUUUCAGCCAGUCGCGCCAAUAUGGACAAAUCAAUAAUUGUAUGGCAAAAAGAUGCUUCUCCAAAACAAUAUGAUGUAUCAACAUUUGAAAAAGUCUCAAAUUGAUUGGUUAAUAAUCAUUAACAUCAUAAAAUGCUGUUAAAAAGGAAAAAAAAGAGGCAAAAUAUACAUCAACUUUCUCCGCUGAUAAAAGCAAAUUGAAAGAAUUAAAGUCAAUUUGUUCCAAUUAUAUUUAAUUUCAUGUUUUAUUUUUGAAAAAAGGAGACUCAAAGGCCAAAUUGCUUUUACAUUGAACCAACGACUGUGAAUGAAUCAAAUGGAAGGCAUAAGAAGCUCAAGAGGAAGAGCUUCAAAAAAUUAAACUCACCUUAGAUUGAUCAACCUUUAAAUUAUCCAUACAGAUCAAAUUCAACAAAAGAAAUUGAAAUUUACUAGAAAGUGUAACAAUCUAAACUAUUUUCCAUUGUAAAAACAAAUUCAAUUUCCAAUCCAUUGUUUGCAUGGUUUACAGUUGUAAUGAUAUACAUUGAAAUAGUGUAAAUGGAUGACAAUUAGAAUGAUUAAACAAUGAAACAAACCAUUGA